CCUACGGGAGGCAGCAGUGGGGAAUAUUGCGCAAUGGGCGAAAGCCUGACGCCGCGACGCCGCGUGAGGGAUGAAGGUCUUCGGAUCGUAAACCUCUGUCAGCAGGGAAGAACGGUCACUGUGCUAAUCAGCAGUGAAUUGACGGUACCUUCAAAGGAAGCACCGGCUAACUCCGUGCCAGCAGCCGCGGUAAUACGUAGGUUGCGAGCGUUAAUCGGAAUUACUGGGCGUAACGCGAGCGUAGGCGGUAUGUCAAGUCAAGGGUGAAAUCCCCGCGCUCAACGUGGGAACUGCAUUGGAAACUGGCAAACGGGAGCGUGUGAGAGGAUAGUGGAAUUCCAGGUGUAGGAGUGAAAUCCGUAGAUAUCUGGAGGAACAUCAGUGGCGAAGGCGACUAUCUGGCACAUAACUGACGCUGAGGAGCGAAAGCGUGGGUAGCAAACAGGAUUAGAUACCCUAGUAGUC
rnacentral:rRNA from 1 species